AAGUCGUAACAAGGUUACCGUAGGUGAACCUGCGGUAGGAUCAUUAACAAAUCCAAGUAGGCGCGGCCAUGCCGCCCUAUACGUGCCGGUGGCGAUGCGCUGUGGCGUUCGCCGCCGUGUUCGAGUGCCUAGCACAAGUAUGUAUGUGAGACUACGAAACGUAAUGGUGGGAACAAAAAACAACUUUUAACAAUGGAUCUCUAGGCUCUU
rnacentral:misc_RNA from 1 species